UACAGAGGUCUCAAGCGUUAAUCGGAAUUACUGGGCUUAAAGGGUCCGCAGGCGGUCUGACAAGUACCUUGUGAAAUAUCAGGUCUCAACCCUGAAACUGCUCGGUAGACUGUCAGACUUGAGUGCAAAAGGGGUCGCUGGAACUCUAGGUGGAGCGGUGAAAUGCGUAGAUAUCUAGAGGAACGCCAAAGGUGAAGACAGGCGACUGGUUUGCAACUGACGCUCAUGGACGAAAGCGUGGGGAUCAAACAGG
rnacentral:rRNA from 1 species